UUGAACGCUGGCGGCGUGCCUAAUACAUGCAAGUCGAGCGAACAGACGAGGAGCUUGCUCCUCUGACGUUAGCGGCGGACGGGUGAGUAACACGUGGAUAACCUACCUAUAAGACUGGGAUAACUUCGGGAAACCGGAGCUAAUACCGGAUAAUAUAUUGAACCGCAUGGUUCAAUAGUGAAAGACGGUUUUGCUGUCACUUAUAGAUGGAUCCGCGCCGCAUUAGCUAGUUGGUAAGGUAACGGCUUACCAAGGCGACGAUGCGUAGCCGACCUGAGAGGGUGAUCGGCCACACUGGAACUGAGACACGGUCCAGACUCCUACGGGAGGCAGCAGUAGGGAAUCUUCCGCAAUGGGCGAAAGCCUGACGGAGCAACGCUGCGUGAGUGAUGAAGGUCUUCGGAUCGUAAAACUCUGUUAUUAGGGAAGAACAAAUGUGUAAGUAACUAUGCACGUCUUGACGGUACCUAAUCAGAAAGCCACGGCUAACUACGUG
rnacentral:rRNA from 1 species